rnacentral:rRNA from 1 species
AUUGAACGCUGGCGGCAGGCUUAACACAUGCAAGUCGAGCGGAGUGAUGGUGCUUGCACUAUCACUUAGCGGCGGACGGGUGAGUAAUGCUUAGGAAUCUGCCUAUUAGUGGGGGACAACAUCUCGAAAGGGAUGCUAAUACCGCGUACGUCCUACGGGAGAAAGCAGGGGAUCACUUGUGACCUUGCGCUAAUAGAUGAGCCUAAGUCGGAUUAGCUAGUUGGUGGGGUAAAGGGCUACCAAGGCGACGAUCUGUAGCGGGUCUGAGAGGAUGAUCCGCCACACUGGGACUGAGACACGGCCCAGACUCCUACGGGAGGCAGCAGUGGGGAAUAUUGGACAAUGGGGGGAACCCUGAUCCAGCCAUGCCGCGGGUGUGAAGAAGGCCUUAUGGUUGUAAAGCACUUUAAGCGAGGAGGAGGCUCUUUUGGUUAAUACCCAAGAUGAGUGGACGUUACUCGCAGAAUAAGCACCGGCUAACUCUGUGCCAGCAGCCGCGGUAA